AGACAGCCAUGUAGUUUAGCAGGGGCAGCAUUGACAGAAACCAGAGAGCUGUAAAUGCCACACUGGGGUGGCUGGGCCACAUGUGCUAUUAACCAGACAGUCUUGUUCCAUGUCUGGAGUCUGAGCACAUUUUAGGCCCUGGUGGCUGGGCAGCACCCUGUGGGGACCGUUAACCACUUAGCUGAGACCCGUUGAGCAGAUGCCUCUGAAAUCUAUGCUGGUUUGAACCCCCCCUGGGGUAUUUUGUGCUCUUAGGGACACCAUAGUAAUUGAUGUAAUAUGCCUAAGAUGGACUGAAACUGUCUGAUAUUGGAAUAAAUUUAGCCUCACUGGUAAUAAAAGAUAAGUGCAUGAAAACAAGAUGUCAUUUUACUAUAAUUUUCCCUGGCCAUUUUAUUAUAAUUUUUAGAUUGGCCAAGGUUAAGAAAGAUGACAGCUCUGUGGGCUAGAGGGUGGAGAGACAAGCCCUCUCCUACACUGGUGAGGGGUGCCAGGAUUCUGUAGCAACACCUUUGAGUGAGCAUAACCUUGGACUCAAACAAUUUUCCUUACAGGCAAUAACCUACGAAAUACUGGGAUAUACGCACAAAGAUCCAUGUGCCAGGAUAUGUGUUGGAGGAUUUAUAUUUGGAGAAAAUUAAAUGCGCAAUGAGAGGAUCGCUGUAGAAGUAGAGAUCAGGCAUGACCUCCCACCAGUGUUUGCGGGCAAUUGUGCCGCUGCAUGGGCAGAAUUUCCCGGGCCAGCAUCCACAUCAAGUCCACUGAGUGAGCUUCCUGUUGCAUGGGAUGGCAAUGUCCACAUGGUGCAGAGGAGAAUCUGUGUGACACAGAGCAAUGGUAGGACAUCAAGGGCUGUGGACAUUGUGAAAGUUUCCCUUUAAGUUAUGACGGGAAUCCAGAACCACACUGUAUGGACCCCUCUGUGGGUAGCAGGGAAAGCGAGUAGACUUGUUUUCUAAAACUCCCGAGGAUGGACUCCUUGGGACAGCAUCACAGCAUCACAGGGGACCAAUGUCCACCCCAAAUUAAGAAAAAUCUUCUAGCUUUCCACAGGUGCUGUUAUUAUUCCCACUUUACAGAGGGGAAGGCUGAAGCUCAAAGAAGCAAGGCAACUCUCAGGGGUCACAGAAGUGAUAAACUGAGGAGUUGGAAUUCCAGAGUCCAAGCUGGUGACGAGCACCGUGAACUCCUCUUCUCUGGCCACCACUCUACUCUACAACAAAGUCUAUAAAUUAUGGCCAUGGCCAGAUCCAGCUCGCCACCUGUUUCUCUGCUGUUCCCAAGGAAGUACGGGACGGAAAUUAAAGAAGAAAGUGGUUCCACAGGUUUGGUGGCUACAAAAAGAUUUCCUCGAUAAACACUGCCCACAGUCACUCAUUUGUGAAAGCUGCAUGAUGUGAAAUUAAACUCGGGCAGAGGUGCUGUGGGUGAUGAUGUCUCGGUGGCUUGGGGAAAUGAAAGCCAUUCAUCUCAGGCAAAUGUGACAGGCAGGACCAUUGGCUUUCCGUCACCUAUGGGCUGCCUUCUCAUGGCAGUGGCCUAUGCAGGCCUUACGUUUUUGCAGCAAAUUUGUAAUGAACCAAUCAGUGGCCUUCAUGUCAGGCAAUCUAGGAAGGUUUUGGAAGUGGGACUACUUGCCCCACUGUUGGUGAGUAUUAGAUAUCCCUUUAGGAAGGUUCAAGAGCCCAUGCUGGCCAGGCGCGGUGGCUCAUGCCUGUAAUCCCAGCACUUUGGGAGGUCGAGGUGGGCAGAUCACUUGAGGUUAGGAAUUCAAGACCAGCCUGGACAACACAGCAAGACCCCAUCUCUACUAAAAAUACAAAAAUUAGCUGGAUAUGGUGGUGGGCGUCUGUAGUCCCAGCUACAUGGGAGGUUGAGGCAGGAGAAUCUCUUGAACCGGGGAGGUGGAGGUUCCAGUAGAGCCAAGAUUGCACCACUGCAUGCCAGCCUGGCAGCAGAGUGAGACUGUGUCUCACAACACACACACACACACACAGAGAGAAAGAGAGAGAGA
rnacentral:lncRNA from 10 species